GCUACUUAGGAAGUGAAAAUUAGGUGGAUCAUUAUUUGAAAGCAGAUAGGGAUAAAGUUUAUGAGAUCUUCAUCUCAACAAAACAAGUUGUGUGUGUGUGUGUGUGUGUGUGUGUGUGUGUGUGUGUGUGUGUGUGUGUGUGUGCACGUGCGCAAGUGUACAGCCAGGAACACCACAUAGGAGAAAAAGAAAGAAUCCUUGGGUCUCCUGUCUUUCCCUGAAAGAGUAUAUUGGGAAGGCUGGCCUGGAAGUUCCUUAGAAUCCUUGUAACUUUAGAAAUCUGGCCCCACCGAAGACCUCCCCCUCCCCCCUUUUUUUCCUCCGUUGGCCACAGGCUGGGGGGUUAAGGGCUGAGUACAGCUUGUGGCCAUGACACAGAACAAAGCUAAAUAGGUCAUGCAACAGAACCUCUGACCUUGGCCUCGUUAUCACCCGUGCAGAGGGCGGCCAAGAGAGCAGAGGUAAAUAGCCACACACUGGGAAGAGGAGGACCACGAAGGAGAUAGCCUGUAAGUCCCCAUCCAAAAGCAGGUGUCCCACACUUACUUACUCCAAUCAAAAGCCAGCAAGACAGUUGUUCUGCACUGGACAUGCCAGACACUGGAAAAUAAAGGCCUAACAGAUGCAGCCAUGACCCUCCUGGUGGAGGUUGUAGUCUAGGUGGUGUUACUUCAGUCAUGGGUAUUCUCAAAGUCACCAAUGGCCAAUGGCAAAUAAAUGCCACUUAAUAGGUAGCAUUUUCUCUUUCUUAUUCCACUUAUAAAAAUAACAAUAUUUACAGCCAGGCACUGGUGGCUCACACCUGUAAUCCUAGCUACUCAGGAGGCUGAAAUCUAAAGAUUGCUGUCAGAAGCCAGCUGGGGUAAGGAAAUCUGUGAAACUCUUAGCUCCAACUACCCACUAGGAAAUCAGCAGUGGAGCUGUGCCUCAAAGUGGCAGAGUGCUAGCCUUGAGCUAAAAAGCUCAGGGACAGUGUGCAGGCCCUGAAUUCAAGCUCCAUGACUGACAAAACAAACAAACAAAAGGCAAUAUUUUAUUCUCAUAGUUAUAGUAAUGUGAAAAGAAAUAAAACACUAAUAAACUUAUUACAUGAACCGGAAUAUUUCUUUCCUUUAAAACUUUCCUUAGAACAUGAAGGGAAAAGAUAUGCUCAAUUAAAAAUAUGAA